rnacentral:rRNA from 1 species
AUGCACGCUGGCGGCGUGCCUCAUCCCUGCCAGUCGCGCGAACAGACGAGGAGCUUGCUCCUCUGACGUUAGCGGCGGACGGGUGAGUAACACGUGGAUAACCUACCUAUAAGACUGGGAUAACUUCGGGAAACCGGAGCUAAUACCGGAUAAUAUAUUGAACCGCAUGGUUCAAUAGUGAAAGACGGCUUUGCUGUCACUUAUAGAUGGAUCCGCGCCGCAUUAGCUAGUUGGUAAGGUAACGGCUUACCAAGGCAACGAUGCGUAGCCGACCUGAGAGGGUGAUCGGCCACACUGGAACUGAGACACGGUCCAGACUCCUACGGGAGGCAGCAGUAGGGAAUCUUCCGCAAUGGGCGAAAGCUUGACGGAGCAACGCCGCGUGAGUGAUGAAGGUCUUCGGAUCGUAAAACUCUGUUAUUAGGGAAGAACAAAUGUGUAAGUAACUAUGCACGUCUUGACGGUACCUAAUCAGAAAGCCACGGCUAACUACGUG